AAAGCCAUAGGGGACCCCCAUGUCAUGUUCUAUAUAUUUCAUUGAAAAACGAUCUUGACCUGGUCAUGUUAUCAAUCCUGACCAUGUCAAGAUUUAAACAUGACCAGGUCAGGAUUUUUACCAUCUUGACCAGGUCAGGAUUGAUAACAUGACCAGGUCAAGAUUGAUAACAUGACCAUCCUAUCCUGACCAAGUCAUGUUUCAAUCUUGACCAAGUCAAGAUUGGUAACAUGGCCAUCUUAUCCUGACCAAGUCAGGAUUGACAACAUGGCCAUCCUAUCUUGGCAAGGUCAUGAUUCAAUCUUGACCAAGUCAGGAUUGAUAACAUGGCGUAGUCAGGAUUAAUAACAUGGCCAAGUCAAGAUUGACAACAUGGCCAUGCUAUCUUGGCCAGGUCAGGAUUGAUAACAUGGCGCAGUCAAGAUUGAUAACAUGGCCAAGUCAAGAUUGAUAACAUGGCUCAGUCAAGAUUGAUAACAUGGCCAAGUCAAGAUUGAUAACAUGGCUCAGUCAAGACUGAACAUGGCCAAGUCAAGAUUGAUAACAUGACCAUCCAAUCUUGGCCGGGUCAUGAUUCAAUGUUGACCGAGUCAGGAUUGACAACAUGACCAUCUAUCUUGGUCGGUCAUGAUUGCAUUGCGCCAGGAUAUAUUACUUCCAAACGCAGUCAAGAUUUCUUCAAGCGUCAAUCCUGGCCAAGUCAGGAUGCAAUGUCAAGCGUCAAUCUUGGCUUAGUCAUGAUGUGUUUUUCAAACGCAGGCAAGAUUUAUGGUCAUGAUUGCAUUGCGCCAGGAUGUAUGACUUCCAAGCGCUGUCAAGAUUGCAAAUGCAAGCGCUUCCCUAACAACGAAAACCCGCUAAAAUUGUGUACUGUAGGAUUUGCUCCUCCCAGCUGACAGUGACAAAAUAACUACUAGGUUGCAGUGACUUAGGUUGUAUUGCGUCAUCAACAAAACUCCAGAUCCAUGGUGCAUACAAUUUUAAGAUUGGUUAUAGAUCUACAGAUAGUAUCUCAGAUCGACACAUGCUGACUGGAGAGAGCUAUAUGCGGACUCUGGACCGUGGCUUGAGACAAUGACUGGAGUCUAUGGCUAUGGGAACCAUUUUGCAGUAAUUAAGAAUGUGCAGGAGAAAGUGGUACACUUCAGUUCAAUCGCAUCCUUCGACAAGCGAAAAUCCAUGGUCUACCGGGAAUAAGUUUAUUUGGCGCCAAGACAACCUUUUUCCAAGGUCAAGGUCAAAGAUCAAAGGCCAGAACUGAUGUCAGUUGGAAAGACACCACAUUGGGUCAAAGAUCAAAGGCCAGAACUGAUGUCAGCUGGAAAGAUACCACAUUGUGUAUUGGAUUUGCAAGAUAUUUAAUCAAUGCACCAGUUUCAAGUUCA